UACGAAGGGGGCUAGCGUUGCUCGGAAUCACUGGGCGUAAAGGGCGCGUAGGCGGCCUGAUCAGUCGGGGGUGAAAGCCUGUGGCUCAACCGGGGAACUGCGUCCGAUACUGGUUGGCUUGAGUUUGGGAGAGGGAUGCGGAAUUCCAGGUGUAGCGGUGAAAUGCGUAGAUAUCUGGAGGAACACCGGUGGCGAAGGCGGCAUCCUGGACCAAUACUGACGCUGAGGAGCGAAAGCCAGGGGAGCAAACGGG
rnacentral:rRNA from 1 species